GAGGCUUCUCCGGACUCUUGAGUUUUGUCCUUGGUGAGACAUGAGGCUUGUAAACAUCGUCAAGGAAGGAUCUACCCACAAUUCACUUUGAAUUCUACACAAUGCCGAGUCCAUCACUUUGUAUAAAGGAUAAGUGCAGAUUUGCUUCCUUUAUAAGCCUCAGACAACACGCUGCACCAAAACAUACAAGCAAAACAUACAACAACAGUUAAAGAAAC
rnacentral:lncRNA from 1 species